rnacentral:rRNA from 1 species
AUUGAACGCUGGCGGCAUGCCUUACACAUGCAAGUCGAACGGCAGCACGGGAGCAAUCCUGGUGGCGAGUGGCGAACGGGUGAGUAAUAUAUCGGAACGUGCCCAGUCGUGGGGGAUAACGUAGCGAAAGCUACGCUAAUACCGCAUACGAUCUGUGGAUGAAAGCGGGGGAUCGCACGACCUCGCGCGAUUGGAGCGGCCGAUAUCAGAUUAGGUAGUUGGUGAGGUAAAGGCUCACCGAGCCGACGAUCUGUAGCUGGUCUGAGAGGACGACCAGCCACACUGGGACUGAGACACGGCCCAGACUCCUACGGGAGGCAGCAGUGGGGAAUUUUGGACAAUGGGCGCAAGCCUGAUCCAGCAAUGCCGCGUGCAGGAUGAAGGCCUUCGGGUUGUAAACUGCUUUUGUACGGAGCGAAAAGGCUUCCACUAAUACUGGGGGCUCAUGACGGUACCGUAAGAAUAAGCACCGGCUAACUACGUGCCAGCCGCCGCAGUAAUAC